rnacentral:rRNA from 1 species
CAACGGGUGCGGAAACGUACGCAAUCUACCUUGAUCUGGGGCAUAGCCCGGAGAAAUCCGGAUUAACUCCCCAUAGGAUUAUGGAGUGGCAUCACUUAGUAAUUAAAAAUUUAUUGGAUCAAGAUGAGCGUGCGUCCCAUUAGCUAGUUGGUAGGGUAACGGCCUACCAAGGCGACGAUGGGUAGCCGGUGUGAGAGCACGACCAGCCACACGGGCACUGAGACACGGGCCCGACUCCUACGGGAGGCAGCAGUGAGGAAUAUUGGUCAAUGGACGCAAGUCUGAACCAGCCAUGCCGCGUGAAGGAUGAAGGCCUUCUGGGUUGUAAACUUCUUUUAUGAGGGAAGAAAACUACGGUUUCUACUGUAGCCGACGGUACCUUAGGAAUAAGCACCGGCUAACUCCGUGCCAGCAGCCGCGGUAAUACGGAGGGUGCAAGCGUUAUCCGGAUUCACUGGGUUUAAAGGGUGUGUAGGCGGGCUAUUAAGUCAGUAGUGAAAUCUCCGAGCUCAACUUGGAAACUGCCAUUGAUACUAUUAGUCUUGAAUAUUGUUGAGGUUGGCGGAAUAUAUCAUGUAGCGGUGAAAUGCUUAGAUAUGAUAUAGAACACCGAUUGCGAAGGCAGCUAACUAAGCAAUGAUUGACGCUGAGGCACGAAAGCGUGGGGAUCAAACAGGAUUAGAUACCCUGGUAGUCCACGCCCUAAACGAUGAUUACUCGACAUACGCGAUACACAGUGUGUGUCUGAGCGAAAGCAUUAAGUAAUCCACCUGGGAAGUACGACCGCAAGGUUGAAACUCAAAGGAAUUGACGGGGGUCCGCAC